rnacentral:rRNA from 1 species
GUCUCAGGCCGUAUCAGCCUGAAGGCGCCUGAUCUCGUCUGAUCUCGGAAGCUAAGGCAGGGUCGGGCCUGGUUAGUAUCUUGGAUUGGGAGACCGACCUAGGGAAUCCCGGGUGCUUCGAGGCU